GAGGCAUUUUCCUAAAUCAAAAUCACCCGCAAUACAUCCCCCCCCAAAUAGCCAAAGGCCAAAGCCAACACCCAGAGCAAAGUUGCAAGGACCACCGGCCACAACGCGCCUGACCAUCCCCGCCGCCGUCGCGGCGACGUUUCAUUGACCGCAAAACUCGGAAGUUGCCGAUGUGCGCACAUACGAUAGCGAUUCGAAUCAGACGUUUCUUCUGACCUGUGGCUGUGACAAGGGCAACAGGCAGUAAACAACGCAUCCACCGAUUUUCGAAUUACUUGCUUUGCAAGCUCCUUAUUACGGCUCUAACGGUCUGAUUUUUGGCAACCAUGACUGAGUAUUGGGUUAGCCAGGGUAACAAAUGGUGUGACUUCUGCAAGAUCUACUUAUCAAAUAACCCCGCUAGCAUUAGGAAUCAUGAGCUCGGUCAGCGUCACAAAGAUAAUGUGGCGAAGAGGCUUGCUGAUAUGCGGAAAGAGAAGGCUGCUAAGGAGAAAGAAGAAAAAGAAGCGGCGCGACUCCUUGAGCAAAUAGAAGCAAAAGCAAGGCGCAGCUAUCAGAAGGACAUGACAAACCUUAAGGAUGCCCGAGAUUCACAUGCAUUAGAUAUAGAUGGUCAAGAGGAAUGGGAGUAUGACAGCACUUCAGGUUAUUACUACAAUCAGACCAAUGGUUUUUACUACGAUUCAAAGUCAGGCUUCUACUAUUCCGAUACUAUAGGCAAGUGGGUGACACAGGAAGAGGCCUAUGCAACACCUCAGUUUUCAUCAAAUGCUGGACAUAAAGAAAAAACUUUGAAAAAGCCAGUGUCAUCUUCAGAGUUGGGACUAGUUAAAGAAAACAAAACUGCUGCUAAAGGUCAAAAUGGGGCUCCACCCGGGCCAGUUGUUUCAGGUUCUGUAAACCCCAAGAGAUCUGUUAAAGGUGCUCCUUCAUCACUUACUGUUGGCAAGAGAAAGAGGCCAGAUGAGAAGCCAAAGGCUGUAUCUAAAGAAGAAGCAGCUGCGCUUAAAGCAAGGGUGGCUGCAAAGAAAAGAGUUGAAGAGAGAGAGAAGUCGUUGCAUGGCCUUUACAGACAUUGAUUUGAUUGCCUGAGGAAGUUCCUAAGUAUGCUUUUAAAGUUUUCUCGGCUAAUUGCAUCUGGCCAUGAAAAGUAUAAAUGCAACUGUGCAUGUUGGGCAAAGUUGGAUCUGAAGUAUGCUGGUUUCUUGUAAACUGGUACCUUCUCUGCAGAACUGUGAUCUUAUUGAUUGAUGGCUAUUAAAACGUAUGUGGAAGGCUAUUAUGGUGAAAGUAACUUCAUAAAGGUUGCCUUUGAGUGUAGAAGUUUCCAUUGUGCACUACAAGGGGAUGGAGCUAGUUUAACUUUACAGUGCUUGGUAGCUUUCUUCACACGGGAAAUGUGGGCUGAAUUUUGUUUUUCAUAGUUUAAUUAUUUGCAUGGUUUCUUUGGAACCUCGUUGAGAUCUAGACAUACACUAACAGAAACA